CCAUAUUGCAGUGGUUGAUCGGGUCAUCGUUCAUGUCGCCUGGGGCUCGACCCGUAUAAACACAAAGAGUGCGGCUCGAAAUUGUCCUCUUCAGAUCAUUCUGAAGCAGGAGAGGACGGGAUGGUGAGGGCUUUAUAAGAAUCCCCUUGUUGCACUGCAGCCCCGAUUUCUCUCCUGUCCAGCGCCCCCCAGUUCACUCCGGUCUAUAGGAUUCUCUCUGCAUUUCAGUACUCCCAUCCAACCAUUUCAGAAUGGGAUGAAGGAGCAAAUCACAUACUAAGCAAUGAAGCAAACCAAUCUGCACUCAACAGCACUGACACUGCAUUCUGGAUAUUUACCCCUGGUUUUUCAUUUACUUUAAGGGUCAAGAGUUGCUGGGUUGUCCUUGUCCUUCAACUGUAACACUGUCCUAUCAGUCGGCUUCCCAUCAUGAGCACCUUGUUGCUUGGGUUCAAUUUUCUGGAUCUGGUGACUGCCUGCCACCAUGUAGUAAGACCAGUAUGAACUGUGAUUCACAGAAUUGUUACAGUGCAGAGGGAGACCUAGUGUGCAAUAACAGGCUGUUACUGUCUGCGACAUAGGCUGGCAUAUCUACUCAUAUAUUUCACGUCUCUAUGAGAGCUCAGUGACUGGAGUCCUUGUGGCCUUGUUCCAACCACAAAGGCAAUGCACAAUGAUAUAGCAAUUCUACUUCAUUAGCAAGUCCAGCAAUAGCAGCAACCUGCUACAUGGCCUCCAGAGGGAGAAGUAGCUGUUGAAGACCCAACAAGAAGGUGGAGGAAAAUGAUGAGAACUGUCUGGAGGAGACUACAAAAAAACAACUUAAGGAUGUCUUGCGUCAUCAUCACAAAAUUGUUGUCUGCUGAAACGGGACUUGCACUGUGAAGGAAUGGAUGGUAAUCCCAUCCCAGUGGUCACCAAGGCCUGCAUUUUUUUAUGUUAGCAGCUCCGUUCAGGAGCAACUGGGGACCUGUGUGUUAUCUCCCAAUUUUCAACCCAUAAAUCCACCUGAUUGAGAAUCCAGCAGUUCAAGGAGUAGGAAUGACCAACAUCACUGUCUUUCCCUGCUGCAGGCGCUAUCAACUGCACCUACAUUGUUUAAACAAUGCCCUAUCACUGAGGUGUAGUGUCAAUCAACAGAAAAGACUUCCACUCCAUCAAUUGUCAAAUUAUAUGAGACCAUUGAUGCUAGGUUUUGGUGGUCUGUAGUAGAGAUCCGGGAAGCCCUUAAGGCUCUUAAACACUAAGUGGAUGGAUGAGAAGUUAAUGGGGGGUGCAGGAGCA